rnacentral:rRNA from 1 species
UACGUAGGGUGCGAGCGUUGUCCGGAAUUAUUGGGCGUAAAGAGCUCGUAGGCGGUGUGUCGCGUCGGCCGUGAAAACCUGGGGCUCAACUCUGGGCGUGCGGUCGAUACGGGCAUCACUUGAGUUCGGCAGGGGAGACUGGAAUUCCUGGUGUAGCGGUGAAAUGCGCAGAUAUCAGGAGGAACACCGGUGGCGAAGGCGGGUCUCUGGGCCAUAACUGACGCUGAGGAGCGAAAGCGUGGGGAGCGAACAGG